AAUAAUAAAACUACUUCCUCUCUUUCGAGGACUACAGAAAAAGAAGUUAGUUCUAGUUAUAAAUCUAACAUAACAAGUUCAAAUGUAAAAGAAAUAAAUUUCGGAAAAGUUAACGUGCACAAGGUAGCUGCAUCUGCUAGGAAUUUAAAAGAAAGUGAGGUCGGACCAGCUGAGGAUGUUCUCUUAAAAAAUAAUAAAGUGGCAGCGUUGAAUUUACGACGCCGGCGUCAUACAGUUAAAGAGCGAGCAAGUCAAGAAAGGAUCAAACAAGGAAAUGAAGAGUUUUAUCAAUGCUUAGCUUGUAAAGAAUUUAAAGAAGUAACAAAAGGUUUUUACCCUAAAAACAGAUCUCGGUGUCGCGAAUGCAUAAGAACGAUAAUGGCAGGAAGACGCAUGAUAGAAACG